rnacentral:lncRNA from 10 species
UGAACACCGGGAAGGAACUGGCACUUGGAGUCCGGACAUCUGAAACUUGGACUGUGAAUGCAGCCCGUGAAAAAGAGGGUUUUCGGAAGCUUGACAUUUAUGAGGGUGAGGAAUUGACAAGCCGACAUCAGUCUCCAGAGUGAAUCCAAGGAGUGGACCCAAGACAUUUGUGUUCUGUGAUGUGGUGGCAUGUUACCUGUCAUCUCCGAUGCAUAACUCCUAAAGUGCGUCUGGGGCAGUUGUACAGAUUGCAGAGGAUAAUACUCAAGAUGUUCUCCAAGGCCAACUAGUCAUCAGUUUAUUCAUGUUUCUGGGAUUGGAUUCAUGAACUCAUCCUUUGAACUAUUUCAACAAGCUUUUUCAUGUAACUAAUCUGCGGAAGGUAGAAAGGGGAAAACUGUUGGGUGCUAAAAUGACAACUGGUUCAAGACCCAAGUAGGUGUUCACAGUCAGUCCUGCAGGAAGAGAUUAGAGGAUCUAGUUACCCAGGGAUCAUCUCCAUUCCUUCCAACUGAAAGGGAAACAAACAAGGAGGAGCACGCCUGGGGAGGUUUUCACAGGCCAGGACUGGAAAUGCACAUUUCUCUUUUCCUCACAUUCCAAGCUCCCAAGAUGGUGGUGGGCCACUUCCAAGAUGGUGGCAAGAGUCGUAUUCUCUGACCUGGGGUUCUUGGUCUCAUGGAUUCCAAGGAAUGGAAUCUUGCGCCAUGUGGAGAAGCGUCAGAUAAUUAGGCAGCAGUCCAACAAUUAGGUUUUGUGGAACUUUUACUAUGUCAUCUAUUUAUUGGAAUUCCCCCUGGAUACCAGGACCCCCUCCAGCAGAGCUUAAAGUUAUAGUUACAGGAAGUACAAAUUCCUUAUGUGGAUCCCUGGAAGUGUGAUGAGAAGAACCACUGUUUCCAAGAUCUAUUUAUUCUAUUUAUCAGGCCUAUAAAAUCAUGUAAUGGCCAUGGCUUCAACUAGACU